rnacentral:rRNA from 1 species
CGAACGGGUGAGUAACACGUGGAUAACCUACCUAAUACAAAGGGAUAAGAACUAGAAAUGGUUACUAAGACCUUAUAAGCUUCAGGUAUCGCAUGAUACAGGGGGAAAAAGAUUCGAAAGGAUUGGUAAUAGAGGGGUCCGCGUCUGAUUAGCAAGUUGGUGAGGUAAAGGCUCACCAAGGCAAUGAUCGGUAGCCGGCCUGAGAGGGUGUACGGCCACAUUGGGACUGAGACACGGCCCAA